UACGGGGGGGGCAAGCGUUGUUCGGAAUUACUGGGCGUAAAGGGUUCGUAGGUGGCCUACUAAGUCAGACGUGAAAUCCCUCGGCUCAACCGGGGAACUGCGUCUGAGACUGGAAGGCUUGAGUGCAGGAGAGGAACGCGGAAUUCCAGGUGUAGCGGUGAAAUGCGUAGAUAUCAAGAGGAACACCUGAGGUGAAGACGGGUUGCUGGGCUGACACUGACGCUGAGGCGCGAAAGCUAGGGUAGCAAACGGG
rnacentral:rRNA from 1 species